UUAGGAAAGGGAAAGGGGAGGUCUAAAACUUUCAUCCUAGGAUACAAUACCCCUGCAACAUUGCCUGUGCUCAGGGAAUAGAAUCUACACCCUGCCACUUGAAAUAAGGAUGUAACUCCAUGCCAUUCCUACCAGUAGCUUGCCAGGUGGCCUGGGCUGGGUCUUAAACUGAGUAUUAUUUGUAAAAGAAAAGGGCCAGCAUUUUCUCAUUUUGCAGAGCUUAGGAGAGCAAAGCUGAUAGUUUUGCAAAGCUGAGGGCUUCAGGUGUAAUUUUUCCUGAAAAACUACAAAUCUUUUGUGUCUCCUGAGGGCUUCCUUUAAAUUAGCAUUAGGUGAAAAAUAAGAUGGGGCAAAAGAUACCUUCAUAUCCAUAUUUUGCAGAUUUUAGCCUGGCAGAGAUUUCUCUAGCAGAACCUCUCAAGAAAUUUUACAUCAAGACCAUGACAACUAGAAUCAAUUCAUAGCCUCCAUUCACUCAAUAUACCAGUACACAGCA
rnacentral:lncRNA from 1 species